AGCAAAUCGCAAAGUGAAAACAGGCGAUAAAUCAUUCAAGUUUCUGACCUAUCAGCUUUCGACGGUAUGGUAUUGGCUUACCGUGGCAGUGACGGUUAACGGGGGAUUAGGGUUCGAUUCCGGAGAGGGAGCCUGAGAAACGGCUACCACAUCUAAGGAAGGCAGCAGGCGCGCAAAUUACCCAAUUCUAACAGUUUGAGAGAGGUAGUAACAAGAAAUAACAAUACAAGGCAGUUAAAAUGCUUUGUAAUUGGAAUGAUAGAAAUUUAAACCCUUUUUAAAGUAUCAAUUGGAGGGCAAGUCUGGUGCCAGCAGCCGCGGUAAUUCCAGCUCCAAUAGCGUAUAUUAAAAUUGUUGCAGUUAAAAAGCUCGUAGUUGAAGUUCUGCUAAAAGUAACCGGUCUGCUU
rnacentral:rRNA from 1 species